rfam:Amycolatopsis australiensis strain DSM 44671 genome assembly, contig: Ga0074771_106
GGUCAUGAGUGCCAGCGCGAAGCCCCGGCUUGCUGGCCGGCAACCCUCCUACCGCGGUGGGGUGCCCCGGGUGAAGACCGGGCCGGUCGCGCAGUGCGACGGGCAAGCGCGGGCC